ensembl:lncRNA
CCCGGAAGCUAGGAGACUCUCUGUGUGGAGAGGCUGACGCCAGCCAUGCAAAGCGGAGGGAAAGAUAAACUGCUCAGGAGUCAUGAGAUCGUCCCUUCUUUUACUUUCCAUCUCUGCAGUGUGUGCUCUUGAGCUGUCUCACCUUCAGCACUGAAGAUUGGGUGAUUACCCAGAAAAUCAACCUGUGGCUUCACCCUCCUGCACUGCUGCUGCAGGCUGAGCAGUCACCAGAGCAGCUGGAAGGCAGGAAGUGGGGAAGCUUCAACACUCCAGGAGCAAUUCAGCUGCUUACAGAAGUGUCUGAGGUCACUUUUGGCCAUUGCACUUGCCUUCUCACUACUGUUCCAAAGGAGUCUAUUGGACAUGUGUCAUAUGUUCUACACCAACAUGUUUAUGUCCUUGAUACUCUCAGAUCUGGGCACCUGCGUUGCUCUGCUUUAUGUCAUGGCAGGUAAUUCUCUAAGGAUAAAAUCAUCCUUCUUGUUGACCUUUGUCCUGUAUCUGGGCUCUUUCAUAAAUAAAUCUAGCCAGACCCAAGGAUCAAAAUCCUGAUCCUUGUACCCUGCCAUUUUCACUGCGUUUCAGAGGCUAACAGGUAGGUCCACAAGACUGAGAAGAUUUUCCUCAUCCUUACCACAAAACCCUUAUGACCAGUUAGGGAUUUGUAGCAUCUUCUUUGUAUUUAUUCAUAUAUUUACUCAGUAGGACAGGAACAGCUGUUUCUGUUUUUUGAUGAUGCACCUGACAUAUGUCUGGAGAACUGAAAUGAUAAAUAAACAAAUCUUGUCAAUUAUGUGAAAAGUGCUCUCUUAAAAUACAGUAUGGAAGGGCAACAGUUUUGCACAGGAAUAUUUCUUUCUGAUAAAAACUAUCCAUUUUGUAGGAAGGAAAAUGCAAAUAAAUUGGUCACUGCAAAAUGAAAAAAAAAUCUGAAUUCAAUUCACAAUGUCAAUUUAUUAUUUAAAGAACAGAUUGUAACAGCAUUCCUGUGGUCCAGACAAAACAGUUUUCUGUUUCUCUUCUAGCUCCUCUACUUCCCAGUUAUCUCUAUCAUUUGUCUAAAACCCAAAUUCCUAAAAAAGCCACAACUGUGUAGGCAGAGCAGGGAGUCAUUCUGGAUUUUGUUCACAUUCCUCCUUAACUCUGUCUGAAGUUGAUGGGAAUUUAACAAGUAAUCUCAACAGGAACAAGAUCACAUCCUUUUGGUGGAAAUGUCAUGACCUUCUUCCAUAAACUUGCUCAUGUAGAAUUUGUUUUCUUUCAGAUUGUGUAUAUAUGUGAGAGCUAUUCCAAGAAAGGGACAGAGGAGGAGGCCUUACUUCUUUUAAAGAAAUUAUCAUCUAAUGGGUCUCUGUAAACUGAUGUGGGAUAGAAUUCCACAUAUAUUUAGAUGCUAGGUAGUCACUGGAGUCUGAUUGCUGACUGUGCUGUUAUGUCAACAUGGCCAUGAUGUUGAAGCAAAAGAACAGAAUUUUAAAAGGGCGUGCUGAUGGUAGGCAGAAGACAACCAGGACCAUAAAGAAUCCCUGGCUUUGAGACUGAAUAAAUCCAGGUAAAUGAAAGACAACAGAGGAGGAGGAUUUAGUAUGGAUGCCUACGUGUGCAAUUCUUCAUGACCUCAUGUACUCCUGGACAUAUAUAUACUACCUGAAUGGUGACUCACAAACCUCUCUCUUCACUUCUGACCUUUAGUCUACUGUUCAGUCUCAUGCUUUUGAUAGUCACUCCAAUAUGUUGAUACAAUUCUCCAAUACUUCAGAUCAAAAAGAAAUCCUCUAUUUUUUCUUCCACAACAGAUCUAGAUGUUUUCAUUCUCCAGUUCUAUUUCUAGUUGUUUUGCUUGCUGUCUUCUUGCAGCUUCAUGCAGGCUGCUUGCUUAGGAUCUUUGUCCUCUGAGUGUUUUACUGUGCAAUUUCCUCAUAGUGGGUGCUACCACCAUUUUCUCAUGCACAAAGUCUCUUUCCUUUUAUUGUCCAGAUAGCUCUUUAAAACCUUUUUCUUCUCCUCAUGCGACACUUGCACUUUGGAAAGGAUAUGCUACUCUUUCUGUGUACCUGUCUGACUUUGAUUUCAAAUGCUUUCAGGCAACUUCAUGUGCAAAAGUACAGUUGCAAAGUUGAACUUAUACAGUGCCAGUUCUACUUUUCUGUACAAUAAAAUAUAUUUGCUGUG